UUGAUACAAAAUUCAUUGAAUCAACCGAUUUAACAGUAAGGCGAUUAAAACGUUUGAGCCGCCCACUUUUGGAAGACAGAAAAAAAAAUUAUUAUAUAAGUUUCAGCAAUGGGGCUGGGAUCGGAUGCCCCUCUGCUGGUCUCGGCGGUAUCCGGUACUUUAUCUUUCUCUAUUUUUUUUUUCCUAUAUAAUUUGGUUUUAGAAAGGGAGUUGUUGCUUCCUGCUUUGUGUUAUUGUUUGAUCAUUUACUUUUGCGUAUUGGGUCUUCAUCUUGCUUGUUAUUGAGCACGUCCUUGGGAUCGAGGUGACAGGUUCUUUCCCUCGUAGAUUUUUGGGUGAUUCUGCUGGAGAUGGAGACGGUUCACUCGGAGUUGGAAUGGAGGAACAAAAGGACUCGGACCUAGGUUCGUUUGCACACCAACCACGGUUUCGUUUUGGGUUACAAUUUACAAAAUAUCUUUCUCUUUCAAGUGGGAAUUGCCAGUGGUAAAAGAAAAUGAGUAUUGCUUUCUAAUGGGUACAAUGCAAGGCCUUUUUAUCUUCUAUCACUCGCGUAUAUGGUUGUUUCUGUCACUUGAGAAGAUGCAAUGGAAAAUUGACUAGUAUGAACUGAUAA